CUGAGUUUGAUCCUGGCUCAGGACGAACGCUGGCGGCGUGCCUAAUACAUGCAAGUCGAGCGGACUUCUUAAAAGCUUGCUUUUAAGAAGUCAGCGGCGGACGGGUGAGUAACACGUGGGCAACCUGCCUGUAAGACUGGGAUAACUUCGGGAAACCGGAGCUAAUACCGGAUAAUAUAAGGAACCUCCUGGUUCUUUAUUGAAAGAUGGUUUCGGCUAUCACUUACAGAUGGGCCCGCGGCGCAUUAGCUAGUUGGUGAGGUAAUGGCUCACCAAGGCGACGAUGCGUAGCCGACCUGAGAGGGUGAUCGGCCACACUGGGACUGAGACACGGCCCAGACUCCUACGGGAGGCAGCAGUAGGGAAUCUUCCACAAUGGACGAAAGUCUGAUGGAGCAACGCCGCGUGAGCGAUGAAGGCCUUCGGGUCGUAAAGCUCUGUUGUUAGGGAAGAACAAGUGCGAGAGUAACUGCUCGCACCUUGACGGUACCUAACCAGAAAGCCACGGCAAC
rnacentral:rRNA from 1 species